AUGAAAAGGGAAGCUGCUUCAAUACGCAUACAGAAACAUGCGCGUUCUCAUUCAGCAAGAAAAUCUUACAAGGAAUUACAGGCAGCAGCUGUAGUCAUUCAAACAGGGAUGAGAGCUAUGGCAGCACGAAAUGAAUAUAGGCAGAGGAGGAGAAAUAAAGCAGCUAAAAUAGUUCAGACUCAAUGGAGAGGAUUCCAUGCCUUCUCAACUUAUAAACAGAAGAAAAAAGCAAGUCUUUCACUUCAAUGUCUCUGGAGAGGCAGGUUAGCGAGGAAGGUGCUUCGGAAAUUGAGGAUGGAUGCAAGAGAUACUGGGGCACUUAAAGAAGCAAAGGAUAAACUGGAAAAGCGUGUCGAGGAGUUAACAUGGCGAUUAGAUUUUGAAAAACACUUGAGGACUGAUCUCGAAGAAGCAAAGGGGCAAGAAAUUUCAAAAUUGCAAAAAGCCUUACAAGAAAUGCAAAUGCAACUAGAUGAAGCCCAUGAUGCAAUUAUUCAUGAGAAAGAAGCAGCAAAGAUAGCCAUUGAACAAGCUCCUCCAGUUAUCAAGGAGGUACCAGUGAUUGACAACACCAAAGUAGAGAAGCUGACAGAUGAAAACAACAAACUCGAGGAUGAAAUCAGAGAGCUCAAGAAGAGAGUAGAAGACUUUGAACAGAGCUACAAUGAAGUUGAAAAAGAAUGCCAGGCCACACGUAAAGAGGCAGAAGAAUCUCAGCUGAGAGUUUCGGAGCUCCAAGAGUCCAUAGAAAGAUUACAACUGAAUCUAUCCAACCUUGAAUCUGAGAAUCAGGUUCUCCGCCAGCAGGCUUUAGUAGCAUCAACAAAUGAGGCCCUCUCUGAGGAAAUGGACAUACUCAAGAACAAGAUUAAAGACUUGGAGUCAGAAAACGAGCUUCUCCGCACUCAAAGGGUAGUUGUGGAGCGAGUAGUAAGUUCUGAUGAUCGGGCACCUAAAGGGCUUGAGACUGUUGAUAUCACACAUCCAGCUGAUAAUGGACAUCAAACAGAGGAAGUGCAUGAAGAAAUGAAAGUAGAACAACAAAUAUCAAAGGAUUCUAGCCCUCCCAUCUCUUUAACUAAGCAAAGAUCCUUGACGGAUAGGCAGCAGGAAAACCAUGAUAUACUGAUCAAGUGCCUUGCGGAAGACAAGCGAUUUGACAAGGG
rnacentral:misc_RNA from 1 species